GACGAACGCUGGCGGCGUGCUUAACACAUGCAAGUCGAACGGACAGGCCCUGCUUUUGUGGGGUGCUCGAGUGGCGAACGGGUGAGUAACACGUGAGUAACCUGCCCUUGACUUUCGGAUAACUUCAGGAAACUGCGGCUAAUACCGGAUAGGAGCUCCUGCUGCAUGGUGGGGGUUGGAAAGUUUCGGCGGUGGGGGCUGGACUCGCGGCUUAUCCGCUUGUUGGUGGGGUAGUGGCUUACCAAGGCUUUGACGGGUAGCCGGCCUGAGAGGGUGACCGGCCACAUGGGGACUGAGAGACGGACCAGACGCCUACGGGAGGCAGCAGUGGGGAGUAUUGCACAGUGGGCGGAAGCGUGAUGUAGCAACGCCGCGUGCGUAAUGACGGCCUUCGAGUUGUAAACCGAUUUCUCCUGUGACGAAGCGUGAGUGACGGUAAUGGGUAAAGAAGCACCGGCUAACUACGUG
rnacentral:rRNA from 1 species